UACGUAGGCAGCAAGCGUUGUUCGGAUUCAUUGGGCGUAAAGGGCGCGUAGGCGGCGAGGUAAGUCGGGUGUGAAAUCUCAGAGCUCAACUCUGAAACUGCACUCGAUACUGCUUUGCUAGAGGACUGGAGAGGAGAUUGGAAUUCACGGUGUAGCGGUGAAAUGCGCAGAUAUCAGGAGGAACACCGGUGGCGAAGGCGGGUCUCUGGGCCGUAACUGACGCUGAGGAGCGAAAGCGUGGGGAGCGAACAGG
rnacentral:rRNA from 1 species